CUGGAGGGCUUAUUUUAUGGGUUUCAUACCGAAAAAGACCCUGGUUCAAUUUUUGCCGGAAAUACACUUUAAUGACAUGUCUAAAAGACACGAAAGACCACUGAGAUAAAAGCAUCAUCAAAAUGGUAAUAAAAAGCCUGGAUGUAGUUGUGAGAAUUAACUGGAAUUUCCGGCUGUAAAAUAAGCAAAGAUGUAUGUGUAUUUAUUUGAAAUAAGGGGGAGCUCGCGUACGAGAUGUAAACACAAUGUCCGCCAUGUUUCUUCACCGCUUAGCUAGAGAACAAAUUUGCAAUGUGAAACAGCCAAAGUGGAUUUUGAAAAUAUAUUGUUGGAUUCGGACAUUCAGGGCUAUUAGUACAGGUCAAAAUACAGCCAGGAAGAAUAGACACAAAUAGAGCGGGAGGCUGCUGCGGCUGCAGCUCAACAAGCCUUGUCUGUUGCCCAGGACGAGGAGCCGGAGCGCCCCGGUUUGCUCUGUUCAGUGUGCUGCAGCGAAUUUCAGCGAUGCCGGUUUCUUCUAGAAUACAUUUCUGAAACUGGCGAAGACGGGGCCAUGUGUGUAACCUCUCACCCAGGCUUUACGCCUCAUCUGAACAGUUGGGUUUUGGAUCCAUAUUUCCGGACCCAGUAAGUUGAACGCCUGAUGCGGACCCUGAACUGGAAAGGCCAGCCAAAGUCCGUCGGGAGAAAUAGACGUCAAAGCAUAGAUAUCGGCUUCCUGUGUUGUCCAGGCCAUCAGAGCUAAUUACCCAGCACAAGAUGGGCAGUACCUUGGCUACCAGGAGACAGUAGAUGCUCAAGCCAACCGGAACUUGGUUUUGUGUUGCCCACGACGACGGCCUUCAGGUUGCUGUACGACAUGCUAAUGGGGCCCCUGCAACAGUCUUUUUCUCUCUAUUUUUUGAGCAAACCAAAGCACCCGUCGACCACCACUUGAUGUGGUAAUGCCCGCCUACAUUUCUGACAGGUCAGCUCCUUUCCUCCCUCUCUGCCUCACUCUCUUUCUCUCUCCCUUCCCUCCUUCACUAUUUUUUCUCCCCCUAUCUCUCUCUAAACUGUCUCUCUGUAUCUCUCUGUCCCUCUGCUUCACUCUCUCGCACUCGCUCUCCCCCUCUCUUCGACCGCAAGCACAAGAGCAUAAUGGCGAUCUGAAUUUUUUUACAAAAAAUAAAGGAUUACAGCCACAAGUGGGUAGUUUUAUAAUGCCUCAAAGCUCUGUUUUUUUUUUGUGGGUCCCUGAUUAUAUUCAUACAGCAACGUUUCAUAAAGAGCUCCUUUAGCAAGCGGCUCUCUAAUGGCUCUAUUCAGUGGGGUUCAAUUUACAUGCAACUGCAAUAUCAUUUGGAGAUUAUAUAAUUAAAAGCUGUCUGGUAUGAGUUGGUCUAAAUGCUACUGAGGAUAUAUUUGUUUUCUGUUGUGAUUCUUUUUAAAAGCCUUUUUGAGUUCAUCCUCUCUCAACAGUUCGUUACCCAUGCACUCAAGAACAACAAUGUGUGUUCUGCUGAUUUACAGACAAAUGGUUCUGGGUUCAAUCCCCAUUUCCGCAUUGUACCUAUCCUUGAGCAAGAUUCCCCCUUACCCCUUCACUUUCACCUUCACCUAUCCCAUAACCCCGGAGGGUCGUUGGGGCACCACAGACGAUCUGUUGACCAGCUCUCUCCAUCCCUCUCUGUCCUCGGCAGCUCUCAUUGCCUCACUGAUUUUCAAGUGAGUCCAAUCUCUGAUGUUAUCUUCCCAUCUUAUCUUUUGUCUCCCUCGUCUCCUUCCACCUUGUACGGUUCCUUGGAAGAUGGUCUUUGCAAGGCCUGAGGAUCUGGUGAUGUGUCCGUACCACCUCAGUUUCCGUUUAUUAACAGUGGUAAAAAAAACCUACCUGCUCCUUAAUGACCUGUAUCUGUACUGUCUAGCCCCUACCUGCUCCUUAAUGACCUGUAUCUGUACUGUCUAGCCCCUACCUGCUCCUUAAU